rnacentral:rRNA from 1 species
UACAGAGGUCUCAAGCGUUGUUCGGAUUCAUUGGGCGUAAAGGGUGCGUAGGCGGCGCGGUAAGUCGGGUGUGAAAUCUCGGGACUUAACUCCGAAACUGCAUUCGAUACUGCCGUGCUUGAGGACUGGAGAGGAGACUGGAAUUUACGGUGUAGCGGUGAAAUGCGUAGAUAUCGUAAGGAAGACCAGUGGCGAAGGCGGGUCUCUGGACAGUUCCUGACGCUGAGGCACGAAGGUCAGGGGGAGCAAAACGGGG